rnacentral:lncRNA from 1 species
GUAACGUCCCAAUUUUUGGGAAUUCUGUGAAUGUUGGCAUAGGUUUAAUUAUGUUAGUGGGCCUCUAGAAGGCCCAAGCUUAAGAUAGAACUCGACAAUUUUAGUUAAUUUUUGUUCCAUAAGAAAAAGGGGGUGAAAUUAUGAAAUAGGACCUAUGUGAAAAUGUUUGAAAAUGCUAUAGGCUAAAUUGAAGUGGCCA